AGCAGUAGCCACGGGAAUACGAAGGGGGCUAGCGUUGUUCGGAAUUACUGGGCGUAAAGCGCACGUAGGCGGCUUGGUAAGUUAGAGGUGAAAGCCCGGAGCUCAACUCCGGAAUUGCCUUUAAGACUGCCGAGCUAGCAGGUGAGAGAGGUAAGUGGAAUUCCGAGUGUAGAGGUGAAAUUCGUAGAUAUUCGGAAGAACACCAGUGGCGAAGGCGGCUUUCUGGCUCAUACUGGACGCUGAGGUGCGAAAGCGUGGGGAGCAAACAGGAUUAGAUACCCCGGUAGUCCCUGUCUCUUAUAC
rnacentral:rRNA from 1 species